UUGAAAGGGAAACGAUUGAAGUCAGUCAUGCCAGUGAGAAAUCAGCUUACAGGCUACUGUGAGUGCACUUUUUCGCAAGGCAGGUUAACAUCGGUUUUUGUUGCGUCAUAAUGAUUGUAGGAAGGUGGCUCCUUCGGGAGUGUUAUAGCCUACUUUAGAUGGCGUGACGGGGACUGAGGAUUGCAGCGAAUGCCUUUGGCUACGGAUCUUUUCUCUGUCGAUCUUCAAUUGAUCGUCAGCUUGCUGACGAGCGGUUGAUAGGUUUUCAAUAGGAUGGAAUUCGAUAAAUUCGUUAAGGAUGUUGACGUA
rnacentral:rRNA from 1 species